UGUGUUUCCUUUUUUCUGCCAUGUUGAAAUGUUUCCUCUCUCUUCAUCUCUUCUUUACACAAAGCCUGAGCAUUUUCUGUUUUUGCUUCUGUUCUCAUCUUCAUUCUAUUUUUUGUUUUUACGAUUUUGAUUUGGCUUUGAGGAUGGGUUGGGUAGCCAUGCUUUAUCUCGCCGUCGUUCCUGCACUCAACCGAGUUUCCCUUUCUGGGCUUGGCUUUAAACUAUAAAAUUUAGCCUCCAAAGUUAGGGUUGGGGUAGGGUUCCAGAAGCAUGUUCUUCCUUCUCCAAAACCAAACUUCAAAAGAGAGAACUACAUCAAGGAAGAGGAUGAAAUAUUCAAUGUUUAAUUAUACACAUGCACAAAUUAUACCUAAAUCAUAUAUGAAUCCAUUGUGAUUGGUUUUUGUUGUUGGUGUUAUUUGUCAGGUCAACCGCGACGCCGUCGGAUACAUCACCUACCGGACCAAGGACUCCGCGGACGCUGCCAUCGUCGCCGGCCUCGACCCCACCUUCGGAAUCACCGUUAACUCUAAAACGGUCCAGGUGUUGUGGGCAACAUACCCUCUAGCCAUGUGGAGGGAAGGAGUUGGUAAUAGCAGGAACAAAGGUUCUAUGUCAAAGCUUGUGCGUGCUGAGGUACCUUUGAGCAAGCAUGGAAGAGAUAUGAGAUGGACAUGUUGGCCUUCUCUGGCUGCGAUCAUGAUUGUGAUAGCAGAGAGGAGGAGGAACUCACAAGAAUGAGAACAGUUUCUACCAGUAUUAGUGGUGCAAGCUACUACACUGGAACUUUCAAUACUGUCAAUCGCUCUCCGGAUGGAAGCCAUUCUAGCUGCCACAUAAUAGAGCAGUUGCCAGAAGAAUCCAGAACAUGCGAUGGAGAGUUGAUGGUGUGUUGCAGUCUUUGAUAUGUCGAAUUGGUUGCCUUGAGUAACCAGUGUUUACAUGCAUACACAGGAAAUGAUCUUGGAAGAAAAUUUUUGCUUGAUGGAGAGGUCACUAUUGACACAAUGGCAGAUGAUGUGGAAUUCACAGACUGUGACAGAUAGUUGGAUAGAGAAUGCUGUCAAAGGCUGAUGGGCAAGCAGAUUAUCAGGAAGAAUGGAAGAAUAAAGUUUUUGGUUGAUAUCUUGCUUGGGCUUAAGUUCUCCAUGAGUGGAAAUUUUGUAACAUGGUUCUGACCGGACUGAGUUCUUGAAGCUCUCUAACAAAAUAGAGUACACAAUUCAAACUUGAUAUCUUCUAUAGUUUGAGGAGUUGAUGGUAUCAUCUUUUUUUUAUUUGUCUGACAUAAUCAUAGUUAUUUUUAAGUUGUUGUAGAUCCUUUAUG